AACGAACGCUGGCGGCAUGCCUAACACAUGCAAGUCGAACGAGAUCUUCGGGUCUAGUGGCGCACGGGUGCGUAACGCGUGGGAAUCUGCCCUUUGGUUCGGAAUAACAGUUGGAAACGACUGCUAAUACCGGAUGAUGACGAAAGUCCAAAGAUUUAUCGCCAGAGGAUGAGCCCGCGUAGGAUUAGCUAGUUGGUGUGGUAAAGGCGCACCAAGGCGACGAUCCUUAGCUGGUCUGAGAGGAUGAUCAGCCACACUGGGACUGAGACACGGCCCAGACUCCUACGGGAGGCAGCAGUGGGGAAUAUUGGACAAUGGGCGAAAGCCUGAUCCAGCAAUGCCGCGUGAGUGAUGAAGGCCUUAGGGUUGUAGAGCUCUUUUACCCGGGAUGAUAAUGGCAGUACCGGGAGAAUAAGCUCCGGCUAACUCCGUGCCAGCAGCCGCGGUAA
rnacentral:rRNA from 1 species